rnacentral:lncRNA from 1 species
GGACACAGGAGCUUGCCACUGCCUCCGGCUGGGUUUUUGGACACUCAUAUGUGGCUCUUGGUGCAAUGGCAGCUCUGCAGGAUGCCGGGAGAUGCCGCCCCCUCUGCUGGCUGCUGUCCACCUCGUGCUGAGCCCCAGCCUGGUGCUGGGUGGUGAUGGGUGCUGGGACUGCCAGCCUACCCGCAGGCGCUCUGCAUCUCACCAGCACCCUCUGCUGAAGAGCUGGUGAAUCCUGGUGUCUCCCAACAGUCUCCACAUCCUUUCCUGUCCCUUCUGGCUCCCAGGUCACGGAGGAUCGCCUCAGCCCCACAUAUAGGCCAGCAUUUGCAGAGGAAUUCUUGGGCCAAAAGAAUCCGUCCACCCCAGCAGGCUGCCUCCCACCCACCUGGCAGCCCAUUUCCUUGCUGAUGUGACUUCCGUGGGACUUUUUCCUUGCUGCCAGCUCUUGAGCCGCUCUCUUCUUCCCGUCCUAAAGGCAAGGCCGCGAGCCCACCCCAGGGACGCUCAGCAGCGCCGUCCCUCCUAUCAGCAGCUUUCUGUCCUCCAUCAGGGUCAGCACGUUCUCCUCAGCAUUUGACCUGUUGCUUCAGCCCCAGGGUUUGGAGACACCUGCCUGGUCACAGCUGCCCACAUACCUGCUCCUGUGUCACCUGUGGGCUUGGCCUUGAGGAAAGGCUGCCAGGAGGCUCCUGUGGGACCAGACUUAAAGGACAGUGAGAGUCAUGGCAUCUCCCUCAGGGUCAGGGGCACUUUGGCAUGGUCACUGAGGCUUCCCCGAGGGAAGUCCUGAUUUUCACAUUGCUCCAGAAUCAAAUGCUCCAUAGGACAGUGCCUUUAGGGAAAUGCGACCUCAUCUUGGGGACAGGUGCCUCCUGUCUUAAUGAUCACUGGGAAGCUGCGAGCUGUCUCCCACCUACCCUGUGCUCUGAGGCUCAUCUAAGAUCACAUUUUUUAAAGGUCUGUUUUGCUGUGCUGCAGUGUUCUGCAAUGGGUGAUUGAUUCAGAGGUUCAUCAUCCAUUUGUUAAAUACUGACAUUUAUUGAGUACCUACUAUGUGCCGGGCAUGGUGCUAGGUAGCCUGUGAGGAUGAGCUGUGCACAAGAGUGACACAACCCGGCCCUCGUGGAAUUGUUGGUCAAUCAGUUUGAAUUCCACUUACUGUGUGACUGUGGGCUGUCCUGAGUUUUUAGACCCUUGGAAGAGACUGGCGGAGUUGCUUAGUUGACCCAGGUGUGCCAGGCUGCUGGCAUAGCCCCUCAGGCUCUUUGCUACCUCUAGUCUGAGCUGUAGUUGUGUCCUGUUCUAAUUUCAGUUUCUCUGUACACUUUGUAAUUGGGCCACUCUUUCAGACAGCCUGAGCAGUUAAUGACCUUGAGAAAUGAUACCAGUCCUGCACAUGGGAUCCUGCUCUUUGAAGGCACCCACUUUCUUUGUGGGUCUGUGCCUCUUGGGCACGCCUCCUCUUCCAGCUUUGAUGGUGCCACUGUAACAACAGGGUUUGGAAUUAUUAAUUCCUCUGCACAGCAAGGUGCAGUUUUAUUACACAAAAAGGGGGAAAUAUAAUUGCUAUCUUGAGUAAUCAUUUUCCGAAGGCUGAAAGCAUAACCUUUAAUUAAUAUUUCAUCUGCAGCUGGGGUGGAUAACUUGAAUAGGGCCUAAAAAUAUUAUUGCCCCUCUGCAUGGAGAGAGCUUGAACUGUGAGACACAGAGCCAGUGUGUGCUAUUCUGUUCAGUUAUUUCUAAAAUUAAAAGUGCUUAACCUGUUAACCCGUGAUAACAUGGGCCACAGGCUGUGACGAUGCCGGUCUUAUUGAGUGGGCCAGAGGGACAGUUAUCACAGCCCCUCACAGAAGCCAUCGCACCUGCCUAAGACAUGAACACAGGCAAGGCCUGGGGGCCACUGAGCCCUGAUCAAAGCAGCCUCCCAGGUCAUGUCCACGGGCCCUGUGCCAGUUGGACUUCCACAGGUCACUGGGUUAAGGCCUCGAUGGGAAGAGCCGUCUUUGAUGUUUCUGGAGCAGGCACUUGAGAUGUUCAAAGUGCUUCCUGGGAGACAGCCAAAGGGUGUUCCCUGGGUGGCCUGGGAACCCAAGAGACUUGUGCUCUGGGGCCAGAAGGAGGCCAGGCAAGGGCCCCAUCCAGGGCCUGGUGAGGGACGGUGAGAGGGGAGCAGGGCAACAGCGUAGAGAAGCCGCUUUGGUGGGUGACCUCCCAGCCUUGGGGAUUCAGCUGGUAAGGGUCGUAGGGCUGGCUCCAGGGAGGGGACAAAGUCCUUAGUGAAACACACUCGGCACAGCUUGUCAUUGUUUGCACAUCGUUCCACAGACACCAGCUCAUCUGUGUGUGGCAGCAGCCCUCUGAGACUUGGGCAAGCUCUUGUCCCCGUCCACAGGCCUUGCUUAAGCUGGUUCUGCAAGCACACGGGGCGCAGCGCCCUGGCUCUGCCUGUCAGUCCUGAGAACGGCCAGGAGGAAGGAGCCGUUUCCUGCCAGAUGACGUCUGAAGUCACUGAUUUGCCCCUUCAUACAUGGGGUGUGGGCUGGGACGGGACUUCAGUGGCCUGGUUGGGUAGGGAGGACAGUGGGGUCCCCGGGGCUGUGUGGAGCAGUCAGGUUUGGUGGUCACUGUGAGGCCCACUUUGCCCAGAUGCUUUGACAUCUCCCUUUGAUUCAUAGGGAUACUGACCCGUACCCUGGGACAGACCAGCACAUUUGGGCAAAUCAUUUAACUUUAUAAACACCAGUGGGAUCAUUUAAAAUUUUUUUUGCUUGUGGAACCCUAGAGUUACUUUCUGUGUUCUUGAAAAAAUAUUUUAAAAACAUUGUGUACGGCCAAUUAUUGAUCCCAAGGAGGCUGUCUGAAUUCCCGGUCACCUGCCGUGUCUGGACACUGGCCACAGCCGUCGUGUGGCCAGGAGCCCCCUCCUUGGGGAGAAAGGCUCUGGUCCCGGCACAGCCCGCUCUGGCCUCUGCUACCUGCUCCUGCAGAGGGAUGGCUGUGGCCAGGGCCAGGGAUGGCAGGCCCGUGGAAAACUGGAAAAGGUGAGUUCAGUGUCUGUGCCGCGUACAAGAAGGAAGAGCAGGCGGGCCGAUGGUGGCCGUUCUGCCAUGUCACGUGCUCCUCUCACUCGCCCUGGGGUGGCCCUGCUGCGGGUGGCCCUGUCUUUCCUGUUGACAAACAAGGAACUGAGUCCUGAGGGACGAGACCCCCAGCCAGGCAGCGCGGUCAGGAGGGGGCUGUGCGGGGAACCCAGCCUGUCUGUCUCCUCCCAGGGGAGAGCCCAGCAGGGAGGACAGGCCUCUCGAGGGACGAGGGACGCUGCCCUUUGUUCCCUCUCUGGGGCUCUGCUCCUGUGGGCUCUGUGCUAACUGAGAAAACGGCUGGAGGAGGGUUUCAGCAGUGACUUCAUCCCGUGUAUCUCCCCUCUACUCGACCCCUUUAUGAGGAAUCAUGACCUUCUGCUUAGGGUGCGCUGAAGGAGCUUCUCCCCAACCACCCGUCGGUGGUGCAAGGUUGAUGUCUUCUGCCCAGUUUCUGUGCAAAGUGAAGCCUUAGAGAUGGAUGUAAGCGUUGGUACUCAGAACUCUUUGUACCAGGUGAGUGUGUAUAGGCAGGUUCCCUACAGCAGUGUUUGUGAAAGCUAAAGCCCCCAGACGUGCCCCUCCAGGGGGGUUCAGUUGGACAGACCACAGCACAGACGUUUAAUGAAAUGAUUACUGUGUUUUUAUUAGAGAAAUACAAGGUUGCUCUCCACGUACAGAUGUGAGAACUGCUUAGGUAUAACUGAGCUUCAAACAUGGGAGCUGAACUCUGUGCCGCAUGCGAACCCACUUAAUUUACUGUGCCCGCUUUACGUGGAGGCAAAUGCCACUCAGGCGGCCUGUCCUGAUGCUGCCAGUUUCUCCUUGGGACCGAUGGCAGUUCCAGAGGCUGGAUUUCUUUGGGCUAAGCUGCCUAUGACAUUGAGACGUCUCCAGAGAGCCCUGAGUUCUUUAAGGGGAGGCCGAGUCCACAGCACUGAUUCAAAUAAGGUGGGUACUUUUGCAGGGUUGGAAGAGCAGGGGCUGAAGAGCAGGGUGGGGACUGUGAUGACCCCACACUUGGACUGGAGCGUCUUGGAGGGCACUGCCUCACCACUGUUCAGAUGACCACAUCAAAUUGCCCUUCUUGCGCUGGCACAGCCCCAGAUUUAAAGAGGUGAGGAGAUUUCUUGGAGGUCACGCAGCAAGGUAGUGAUUGGGCUGGGGCUAAGGGCCUCUCUGGAGGUGAUCCUGAAUGCUGCGUGUCUCAGGGAGGGGUGGGUGGAGACCAGGGGUGUCCAGUCUCCUCUCAGCCUUCCUGGGUGCACCUCAGAGCUGGGGCCUUCCGGGAGCUUGUGGGAAGUCCCGUGAGCAUCCUGGCUCGAUGCGUUCCCCUUGCAGCUCUCAGGUGAUCCUGGUGUGUGUGGUAUGUAUGUGCAUGUGUGGGUGUGAGACUGUGCAUGUGUGUGUGGUGUGAGUGUGUGGCGUGUGCGUGCCUGUGGGAAUCGUGUACACGUCUGGGGUGUGUGUGUGUGUGGUGUUCUGAAUGUGUGUGCACAUGUGUUGUAGUGCAUGUGUGCACACGUGUGUGUGUGUGUGUGUGUGACAGGAGACGAAGGGGACUCACCACAGCGCGUCUGGCUGACCCAGGUGUAGGGCAGCCCAGGCUGUCAGCCCUCUUCUGCUGGCAGCUGGUGGGAGUCUGUGCACAGCCUGGGUGGAGCCUGAAGCUGCGGUUAAGAGGGGCCAGCUCUCCAGUGGUAUCCGAUGUCCCCUUAUUGAUUCAGGUAGCAGUGACCCAUUCUGAAUAUUUGGCGACUAAUUAUUUUUCCAGUGGAGGUGGCAGGGUGAAGAGUACUUUGCUCUGACCUGAUCCACUUUCCCGGCUCCCCUAGGAGGGCGAGGGGGAGGCUGGAGGAGGGAAGGUCUCAAGGUGACCUCGGGAGAGAAAUCUGCUCAAAGUCUGGGGCGCCCUUCAGCAGCCAGGGUCUCGGCUGCGAAUCUCUGGAAGGAUAAAAAUAGUCCGCCCGCUUUGGUUUGUUGUUGCUGUCUCGUUGCGGGUCGUUUCCUCUGUGGGUGCAGCUCCUGCAGCCUACCUGGCAACACAGGUGGAGUGACAGGCCAGAGCUGCCCUCCUGGCCCAGGCUCACCACUUUAGGAGCUUUCCUUGGAAUCCUCUGGUGACUACAACUUGGACUCAGGGACAGGGUGCUCAUGGUGAGGGCACCCAGGAAGGACCCAAGAGGAUGGGAACAGGGGACAGGUGGGAAAGACCCACAGGUGACCGCUGAGCUGAGCUGUGAGCUGAGGUGGAGCCUGUUUCUUCUCAGUUGCUAAAACUCCUUGGUCAACAGCUGCCUUUGUAGCUCUUGGGCUUUCUUUCUGGUAAGAGCUGCCCAUGUCAUUAUCUCAUUCAGGGGCACCUCCCACAGAGGGCUCCAGCAGACAGCAGGUUUGGAAGUCCAGGCCAGGCCAGCAGCCCUGGGAGUUGGAACACCCUUGGGCAAGAAUCUAUUUUGGGGAAGGGCAAACAGAUUGGUAAACAAUCGUCUGCUCUACCCUUCCCUGUGAGGCCAUGGGGCUCAGGCACUGGGAGGGGAUACAGUCAGGCCCUGCAGUUGCCUGCCUAUGGGACCCAGGGUCCCUGGGCAGUCACACAGGCUUUCUGCUCAGCUUUGUGGGAGUUUGUGUUCUGCUCAGGGCAGGACGCUCCAGCUGGCUCCCCUGCAGCUGUGUCCUGUUCUGGAGACUUCUCUGGCUGCGGGCAAGGCUGGCCACCAGAGCACUUGCUCUGCAGAGACAGGGGUCCUCUCCAGGCGACUGUGGCUGGGUCAGCACUUACUGUGCUGUGGACUGGGUCCUUGACUCUGAGCACGUGGCUGUCUGUCUGCCUGCAGCUGGGCCGGCUCUGCUGAGGCGGGCCUGUGGCUGUGGUGAUUCGCACAGUCAUACCCGCCACGCCCCACUGCUGGUCAUUCAGGGACCUUGUCUGUGAGUUUGGGGAUUCCCCAGUGCCCAGGCUCGUGCCUUUGUCCUAGAGGAUGUCCAAUGCCUGGCCACAUGGUCGGGCUGGUUCCCUACACAGGGGGAGCUGCAGUUCUGUCUGGGAGGCCCAGCGAGGUCCAACCAAAUUGCAGGAGCCUUGGGCACACCUGGGUCCUGGGCCCUUGUCCUUCCAUGUUGUGUGUCCUUGGGCGAUGUCCUUCUGUGCCUGGGUAUUGUUGGGAUGUUUGCCGCAGGUGGAGCCAGGUGCUCGGACAUCCAGCAACAUGAACAGGGCCUGCAGGGCAGGGACUCUGCCUGCGGUGACCCUUGCAGCCUGCAGCCUGCAGCCUGGACAAGUGGCCUUUUGUCUCUGUUGAGUCCCUGGAGUCUGUGGGGAAACAGGGUGUUGCUCCCUCUUCUCUGGAGCCAAGAGAGCUCCUGUCUGCAGCUGGGAAUGUCGUGGAGGGCCCCAGGGGAAUGGGCAGCCCAGUCUGGCUCAGAGUUGAGGUCAAGGGUGGCCCUAGGCAUUUUCUGGGCCAUCCAAGAGUUGGUCUAAAUAAGCCACAGAAUGCCCAGGCUGGGAUGUGAAGUGGCGCUGAGACCUAGACCAGCUUGUCCCUAGACGUGGGCCAAAGCAGGUCCCUCCAGGCACACCUGACAGCGGCCCGGAGCCAGUGCUCACAAAGCUUCACACUCGAUCCCUGGGAGAUGCAAAAACACCAGGUGCAGGGCUGUCGGUUAGAGUUUCCAUUUACAUUACCUGGGGCUUUUCUGUCCAGCCUGCCCUCCCCCCACCCCAGGAGGACUUCACUCACACAAACCCAGUGGGCGGAGGUUCUUUCUGGACCUGUCCACCUGUGGAAUGCGACCGCCAGGUAGGCUUGGCGGCUUGCUGUGGGCGGGAUGCAGAGCUUCCGCAGAAGACCUGGCACCAGCUCUGGAACUUGAACCUGCAAAGGCAGAGCCAUGUGAUGGCUGUGCAGACGGGUCCUGGGUCCAAGUCCCUCUCAGGACCUGGGUGGCCAUGGAGAUGUCAACCACAGAGGGGUUCCCGUCUGAACUGGGGUCAGGAACACUCCCUGAGAGGCCAGGAGGGGGGAUUGGAUAAGUGAGCACUUCCUAGUGUCUUGACGGAGGGCAGCUGGUAACAAUGGUGGCAGUCACUCGGCAGGGCCCCCUGCACCUGGCUCCUUGGAAUGCUCGGCACAGCGCUCUCACCAUGAUGAGGAAACCGAGGCAGCUGAGAAGCAAAGUAAUGUUACCAAAGUGACCCAGGUAGUGAGAGGUGGCAGGCAGGCGGCUCUGGAGCCCACAUGCAUGGCCCUCACUGCACUCCGCUCAUGUCUGUCGACCUGGACCACCUCCCUGAGCUGACCUCAGGGUCCCUGGCAGCUUCAGACCUCUCUGGAGGGUCUGCAAGGGGGAGUCCUGGGGUUGCACGGAGGCCUGGUCACUCUGGUCAGCUAGCUCCACAUGCUCUGCUGUCCCUGCCCAGGGCCUGGGAGCAGUGGGGGAGGAUGUGGGCUCCUGAGCCAGGGGCCUGGCUGUGAUUUCUUGAUUUUUAUCACUAGUAGGAGUGUGACAAAGAGCAACUACUGUGCUCAAGGGCAUUUUCCCUCCUCAGACUUAGGCAGGUCCCUUGCUGUGGCCUGGUUCUUUCCUGCUUGGUCCACUCCAGGACCUCUCUGGGGGCUUUCCCAUAGGUUUCCAGACUGGCCGGCACAGUCCUCUCACCGCCUGAGCAUGUGUUGUGUCGUCCUAAAGGUGCGGGAGUCCAACAAGGGGGCGAGGCACCCAAAAGGCUGGGGAGGGAAUUGCUGGGGUGCUUGCUGGCCCUGGAGGGUGCAGGGGGACCGUGUCUGCCUUCCUCUGCUGGUUCUUGGUCCACCAAUGUGCCUGAGCCACAGUAGACACCCAGGAAGGUUUGUUGAGUGGCUAGGAGGACACCAAGGACAGUUCCUAGAGCAGGGGCGUUGAGAUUAGGGGAAGACGAGGGGCAAGUGGAGUUGGGCUCAGAUGUGAACCACCAGCCAGAGACCGAUGGCCGCCAUGUGCAGCCUGGCAGGGUCCUGUUGGGGAUCUGGGAGCGAGUCCUGGGGGAAAGGAACAAAGAGGCUCUGUUUGUUCAACCAACAUUUACUUAGCAUGGCCCUGGGCCUGUCCUGCUCAGUGAAGGCCGUGAUGAGGCUGUGGAUGGUGCUGGCAGGUGAGUGGGGGUCAAGCUGGGAGCCUCCCCAGGUGGCUGGGGUGCUGAGUGGGACUUCUGCAGCACAGCCCCCUCCCCCACCAGAGAGGCAAGCAGGAGGCAAAGGGCAGAGUCCAGGAAGGAGGGCGACUGCAGCUGUGGCUCCAGGGCCCCAGGUGCUGUCUAGGGAGGCCAGGGAGGCCAUGCAGGUUCCAUAGAGGGACCUGAGAGCUGUGGCCAUGGGGAAGCUGCUGGCAGGGGGACUGGCCUCCACCUAGAGGCUGCCCUCUUGAUUGUAGGGCAGCUGCAUUUGGGCUGCACUGAGCCUAAGUCCCCUGGGGAAGGGCACAGCUUCAGGGUCCCACUCACUGAGUGUCUGAUUGGGCAGGGGCCCCAGAAUGUGCAUUUUAGUUUUGUGGGUUUGUAUUUGGAACCCCAGGAAAUUCUGAUCCUAGUUCUUUGACACAGAAGCACCUCUCUGUGAGCACUUCCGGCCACUAACGCCAGAAACCCUUUGAAGCCCACGAUGUCGUUUCUGUGGUGCCAGAAGUCAUGUCCCCAAACUGCCCCUUCUUACCUGGCCCUCCUGGAGCCGCGAGGCCUCACGGGAGAUGAGCAGGGUUGACCUGGGGGAUCUGAGUUCUCUCCUGUCAGGUGAUGGUCUCACAGCUCCAAGUUCAAGGGUGUCCCUGUCAAGAAGGACUCUCAGAUGGCUUCUAAGUACAAAAACAUGUGCCUUGGUGUAAAUUAAAAGUGAAUUAAAAAAAAAUAGCAGAACCAGGGAGGAGACGCACUGGGGGUGACAGUGCUCGGUUAUCCAGGCUGUCACUCACCAAAACUUCUUCCAGCUCCUUCAGGGUCACAGACGUCCUGGGGGCUGUGUGAAGGAGCAGACUGAACUGUCAGUGUCCCUCCCAGGGCAGAAGCCUCACAGCCCACAGGAGCCUAGGCCACCAAAUCCGCCCUUGAUCUGGUCAAUACAAUGCUCUGCUUCUCCCAACGGGAGGAAGGAUCUGUGCAGGCUGCAAACCCGGCCUGCCCUGCCCUGCCCGGGGCUGCCAGUGACCUUCUGUCCUGUGAACCGGUUCCUGCAGCUACUCGCCAGGCCAGCCCUGAAUGGACCACAGCUGGCUUCAGGGCAUUUGUCCUCUGAUCCUGACCUGAGGUUCUCAGGUGGCCACCCCAGACUCAGGGGCCUCCUUGGAGCCCAAGGGGACUCAGAGGCCGCCACCUUCGAGGAGUGGGAGAGGGAGCAGGCAAGGUUGUGUUUGCUCUGGGGUCCUCAAUGGAGGGUCACUUAGAACGAUGGCACCAGAGAGACUGCUGGACUCUCCUGUUGUGGGUCAGUCUCUGUCCAUAGCCAGCUUUUGUGUUCCUGACGGGACGAAUCAACUAAUGGGUGAAUGGAACUUUGCGCCCAGCUCUUACUUCACAAAAGGAAAACAAACUAAUCAUCGUCAAUAAAGGCCCCCAGGGAGGGAGAGUGCUCGGGGUUUCUGUCUAGAAAUCCAUCCCAGGGAGCCACUCGGGGCAGCUGUGGUGGUGACGGAAACCGAGUUUUGGGAAUAUUGCAAUUUAUUCUUUUCCCGGGAUCUUUCUUUUCUCUCUGAAUUUGAAUUUCCUUGGGAACUAACCAAAUGCAGCAUCUGGGUGCUUUUGUGUUCUGUUUUUGUUUUGUUUUUUUUUAGGUCAUGACUUUCUCUAAAUAGUAAUUAUUAAACAAAACCAAAGGGGAGUCUUCGUGAGGACGCUGUUUGCAAACACUUGCUGGUUUACCAUCUCUGAGGUGGCAGCGCGCAGGACCCUGAGCUUCUUCUGUCUCUCCAAAGGACGCGCCGGGGCGAGCGGGGCCUUCUCAGUGGUGCCUGCCUCGCUCAGGGGUGCUCUCGGCAGGACCUCAGAGCGCGUCUCCCCUCGCUCCCACCCCACUCUCCUGGGACCUUCAUGCUUUGUCCCUGUUGCAGGGUCUGGAAUCCUGGCACUUGGUCAGUGUGCUGGGGUGCCAGGGAGCCAGGUUUGGGCACAUCACUUGGACUCACCAUCCUGUGGCUCAUUUGCCCGGGACCAGUGUCUCUUGGAGGGACUGUGGGGAGGAUGAGGCAGAGCUCAGGGGACUGCCCGUGUGCCCUCAGGAGGGACCCAGGCCGUGGGUCUGCAGCACCCUAGGAAGCCCAUGGAGGGCCAGGUGGCAGAACUGUGCCGUCUGUUUCCUGUGGGCACCUCUGUGCACCCAGGGUCUUGGAUGCCCAGAGGAGGGCAGCAGCAGAAGAGCAGGAUACACCAAGGUGACUCCAGCCUGCGGGGACAGCACCCCGCGAGCAGUGGGGCUGGGUUGGGGGCAUGAGCUGUCGUGGGCAGCAGCUCUGGAGAGGGUGACGAGCUGGACUGGUCUGAGGCUGCAGGGGCUCCUCUGGGACAGAGCUGGCGUUUCAGGGCUGGCCUCACACUGGGGUGCUCGGCCAUGUUCCUAGAGGACCAGUUAUUGGGGAACUGGACCCGAGAAGGACCUCUCUCCUCCUCUCUCUCUCUUCCUCCCUGUUUCUCUGUUUACCCCUCUCUUCAGCUGUGAUCUGUGGACUCAUUUGAGGUGGGGGGUAGUGGGUUCAAUACGGACCCCAAGGCUCUCUGAAUCUCGGGAGGAUGCCUGGUAGGUGCACUUAGAGUUCAUACCUACCAGAGUUUGACAGCCGCUCUCUGAAGCCACAGUCGUCUCUUCCCCUGGGUGCAGAGGUGUGUGUGUGUGUGUGUGUGUGUGUGUGUGUGUGUGUGUGAGAGAGAGAGACAGAGAGAGAGAGAGAGAGAGAGAGAGAGAGAGAGAGAGAGAGAGAUGAGUGUGAGUCCAGCAACUGCAAGAUGGGCCGGCAGGGUGGAGGCCUGACGUGUGCAGGGUGGAGGCCUGGCGUGUGCAGGGU